CCUACGGAGCAGCAGUGAGGAAUAUUUGUCAAUGGACGCAAGUCUGAACCAGCCAAGUAGCGUGCAGGAUGACGGCCCUCCGGGUUGUAACCUGCUUUUAGUUGGGAAUAAAAGGGGUCUCGUGAGCCCCGUCUUGUAUGUACCAUCAGAAAAAGGACCGGCUAAUUCCGUGCCAGCAGCAGCGGUAAUACGGCAAGUCUUGGCGUUAUACGGAUUUAUUGGGUUUAAAGGGAGCGUAGGCCGGCUUUUAAGUCAGCUGUGAAAGUCCGCGGCUGAACCGUGGAAUUGCAGUUGAAACUGGAGGCCUUGAGUGCACACAGGGAUGCCGGAAUUCAUGGUGUAGCGGUGAAAUGCUUAGAUAUCAUGAAGAACUCCGAUCGCGAAGGCAAGUGUCCGGGGUGCAACUGACGCUGAGGCUCGAAAGUGCGGGUAUCAAACAGGAUUAGAUACCCUUGUAGUC
rnacentral:rRNA from 1 species